rnacentral:rRNA from 1 species
GAUGAACGCUGGCGGCGUGCCUAAUACAUGCAAGUCGAGCGAACGGACGCGAAGCUUGCUUUUCUGACGUUAGCGGCGGACGGGUGAGUAACACGUGGAUAACCUACCUAUAAUACUGGGAUAACUUCGGGAAACCGGAUCUUAUACCGGAUAAUCUUUUGAACCGCAUGGUUCAAAAGUGAAAGACGGCGUUGCUGGCACUUAUAGCUGCAUCCCCGCUUCAUUAGCUAGUUGGGAGGGUAACGGCUUACCAAGGCAACGAGGCCUAGCCGACCUGAGAGGGUGAUCGGCCGCACUGGAACUGAGACACGGUCCAGACUACUACGGGAGGCAGCAGAAGGGAACCGUCGGCAAUGGGCGAAAGCCUGACGGAGCAACGCCGCGUGAGUGAUGGAGGUCUUCGGAUCGUAAAACUCUGUUAUUGGGGAAGAACAGAUGUGGAAGGAACUGUGCACAGCUUGACGGUACCUGAUCAGAAAGCCACGGCUAACUACGUG